GAUGAACGCUAGCUACAGGCUUAACACAUGCAAGUCGAGGGGCAGCGGUAUCGAAAGCUUGCUUUCGGUAGCCGGCGACCGGCGCACGGGUGAGUAACGCGUAUCGAACCUGCCCCAUACUCGGGAAUAGCCUUGCGAAAGUAAGAUUAAUGCCCGGUGUUUUCAGAGUCCCGCAUGAGGCUUUGAACAAAGAUUUAUCGGUAUGAGAUGGCGAUGCGUCCCAUUAGCUUGUUGGCGGGGUAACGGCCCACCAAGGCAUCGAUGGGUAGGGGUUCUGAGAGGAAGGUCCCCCACAUUGGAACUGAGACACGGUCCAAACUCCUACGGGAGGCAGCAGUGAGGAAUAUUGGUCAAUGGGCGGAAGCCUGAACCAGCCAAGUAGCGUGCAGGAAGACGGCCCUCCGGGUUGUAAACUGCUUUUAGUUGGGAAUAAAACGGGGCUCGUGAGCCCCCUUGCAUGUACCAUCAGAAAAAGGACCGGCUAAUUCCGUG
rnacentral:rRNA from 1 species